AAGCAACGCGAAGAACCUUACCAGAUCUUGACAUCCAAUUGACCAUCUUUUAAUUCGUAGAUUUUGCCUUCGGGUACAAUUGAGACAGGUGGUGCAUGGUUGUCGUCAGCUCGUGUCGUGAGAUGUUGGGUUAAGUCCCGCAACGAGCGCAACCCUUGUGUUUAGUUGCAAACAGGUCAAGCUGUGCACUCUAGACAGACUGCCGUGGACAACACGGAGGAAGGUGGGGAUGACGUCAAAUCAUCAUGCCCCUUAUGAUCUGGGCUACACACGUGCUACAAUGGCCGGUACAACGGGCAGCGAAGGAGCGAUCCGGAGCGAAUCCUAAAAAGCCGGUCCCAGUUCGGAUUGCAGGCUGAAACUCGCCUACAUGAAGUUGGAGUUGCUAGUAAUCGCGAAUCAGAAUGUCGCGGUGAAUGCGUUCCCGGGUCUU
rnacentral:rRNA from 1 species